rnacentral:rRNA from 1 species
UCGACGGACUCAUAUUGAAACCUAGUGAUGUAUGAGUUAGUGGCGGACGGGUGAGUAACGCGUGGAGAACCUGCCGUAUACUGGGGGAUAACACUUAGAAAUAGGUGCUAAUACCGCAUAAGCGCACAGCUUCGCAUGAAGCAGUGUGAAAAACUCCGGUGGUAUACGAUGGAUCCGCGUCUGAUUAGCUAGUUGGCGGGGUAAAGGCCCACCAAGGCGACGAUCAGUAGCCGGCCUGAGAGGGUGAACGGCCACAUUGGGACUGAGACACGGCCCAAACUCCUACGGGAGGCAGCAGUGGGGAAUAUUGCACAAUGGGGGAAACCCUGAUGCAGCGACGCCGCGUGAGUGAAGAAGUAUUUCGGUACGUAAAGCUCUAUCAGCAGGGAAGAAAAUGACGGUACCUGACUAAGAAGCCCCGGCUAACUACGUGCCAGCAGCCGCGGUAAUACGUAGGGGGCAAGCGUUAUCCGGAUUUACUGGGUGUAAAGGGAGCGUAGACGGCAGCGCAAGUCUGGAGUGAAAUCCCAUGGCUUAACCAUGGAACUGCUUUGGAAACUGUGCAGCUAGAGUGCAGGAGAGGUAAGCGGAAUUCCUAGUGUAGCGGUGAAAUGCGUAGAUAUUAGGAGGAACACCAGUGGCGAAGGCGGCUUACUUGGACUGUAACUGACGUUGAGGCUCGAAAGCGUGGGGAGCAAACAGGAUUAGAUACCCUGGUAGUCCACGCUGUAAACG